UUUCAGCUUCUGCUCACGAGGCGCAGCAGAGUUUGUCACCGAUGUUCAUACCAUAUUUUGAUGUCUUCUGUGAUCUAUUAUUAUACAGAACCAAGGCAACAUAAAAUAUAUUUGUUUUAUAUGAUAAAAAGCAGCAUGUUUGAUGGUGACAUCAUCUCUACGUCUGUCCUCCUAUAGACGAUAACAAAAGAAGAAAAUGAGAAUCUACUUAACUACAAACUUUUAUCUGCCGAGACCAGAGAAUGAAGAUGAAAAAAAUAUUGUUCCUUCACGGAAGCUGAGAAUGGAGGGUCAUCUUCUAGAGGAAGUACAAGUGUAUGAUAAAAGUGUGAAAUGCAUGAUACAGUGAAACUCAUUUAAACGGACACAUGCAGAACCCUUGCUAAUUUGUGCUGAAAAGGGGGUGUCCAUAUGAAACAGCUUCUAGUAAAUUGCAUAAUGAUCAC